CCUACGGGAGGCAGCAGUGAGGAAUAUUGGUCAAUGGACGAGAGUCUGAACCAGCCAAGUAGCGUGAAGGAUGACUGCUCUAUGGGUUGUAAACUUCUUUUAUAUGGGAAUAAAAUGUUCCACGUGUGGGAUUUUGUAUGUACCAUAUGAAUAAGGAUCGGCUAACUCCGUGCCAGCAGCCGCGGUAAUACGGAGGAUCCGAGCGUUAUCCGGAUUUAUUGGGUUUAAAGGGAGCGUAGGUGGAUUGUUAGGUCAGGUGUGAAAGUUUGCGGCGCAACCGUAAAAUUGCAGUUGAAACUGGCAGUCUUGAGUACAGUAGAGGUGGGCGGAAUUCGUGGUGUAGCGGUGAAAUGCUUAGAUAUCACGAAGAACUCCGAUUGCGAAGGCAGUUCACUGGACUGCAACUGACACUGAGGCUCGAAAGUGUGGGUAUCAAACAGGAUUAGAUACCCCGGUAGUC
rnacentral:rRNA from 1 species